rnacentral:misc_RNA from 1 species
GAUGAAGAACGUAGCGAAAUGCGAUAAGUAGUGUGAAUUGCAGAAUUCAGUGAAUCAUCGAAUCUUUGAACGCACAUUGCGCCCCUUGGUAUUCCAUGGGGCAUGCCUGUUCGAGCGUCAUUUGUACCUUCAAGCUUUGCUUGGUGUUGGGUGUUUGUCCAUUCUCUUGCAGAGGGACUCGCCUUAAAGUAAUUGGCAGCCAGUGUUUUGGUUUUGAAGCGCAGCACAAGUCGCGAUUCAACGCUAUACGCCAGCUUCCACAAGCCUUUUUCACUUUUGACCUCGGAUCAGGUAGGGAUACCCGCUGAACUUAAGCAUAUCAAUAAGGCGGAGGA